rnacentral:rRNA from 1 species
CCUACGGGAGGCAGCAGUGAGGAAUAUUGGUCAAUGGACGAGAGUCUGAACCAGCCACGUAGCGUGAAGGAUGACUGCCCUAUGGGUUGUAAACUUCUUUUAUAAAGGAAUAAAACGUUGCGCGUGUGCCUUUUUGCAUGUACUUUAUGAAUAAGGAUCAGCUAACUCAGUGCCAGCAGCCGCGGUAAUACGGAGGAUCCGAGCGUUAUCCGGCUGUUUUGGGUUUAAAGGGAGCGUAGAUGGGUUGUUAAGUCAGUUGUCAAAGUUUACGGCUCAACCGUAAAAUUGCAAUUGAUACUGGCAGUCUUGAGUGCAGUUGAGGUAAGCGGAAUUCGUGGUGUAGCGGUGAAAUGUUUAGAUAUACGGAAGAACACCGGUGGCGAAGGCAGCUUACUAAACUGUAACUGACAUUGAUGCUCGAAAGUGUGGGUAUCAAACAGGAUUAGAUACCCGAGUAGUC